rnacentral:rRNA from 1 species
GACGAACGCUGGCGGCGUGCCUAAUCCAUGCAAGUAGAACGCAGUUGCGAACGGGUGAGUAACGCGUAGGUAACUGCCUCAUAGCGGGGGAUAACUAUUGGAAACGAUAGCUAAUACCGCAUACUGUGAGAUGGACCUGCGUUGUAUUAGUUUGUUGGUGAGGUAAAGGCUCACCAAGGCGACGCAACAUAGCCGACCUGAGAGGUGGAUCGGCACCACUGGGACGGAGACCCGGCCCAGACUCCUACAGGGGGCAGCAAUAGGGAAUCUGCGGCAAUGGACGGAAGUCUUACCGAGCAACGCCGCGUGAGUGAAGAAGGUUUUCGGAUCGUAAAGCUCUGUUGUUAGGGAAGCGGUAACUAACGAGAAAGGAACGGCUAACUCCGUGCCAGCAGCCGCGGUAAUUC